CCCUUAGAUGUUCUGGGCCGCACGCGUGCUACACUGAGUAAAUCAAUGGGCAAGGGAACACGAAAGUGCAACCUAAUCUUGAAAUUUGCUCGUGAUGGGGAUCGACGGUUGCAAUUUUCCGUCGUGAACGAGGAAUACCUUGUAGGCGCGUGUCAUCAUCACGCGCCGAAUACGUCCCUGCCCUUUGUACACACCGCCCGUCGCUCCUACCGAUUGAGUGAUCCGGUGAGGCUCUGGGACCUGGACGGAAAGAGCGUUUCGCUUGUUCUGUUUGGGAAACUUGGUCGAACCUUAUCAUUUAGAGGAAGGAGAAGUCGUAACA
rnacentral:rRNA from 1 species